CCUAGGAUGGCUCAGUCUGUAGAGCUUGAGACUCUUCAUCUCAUGGUUCUGGGUUCAAGCCGCAAUGUAGGG